rnacentral:rRNA from 3 species
CAACUUUCAGCAGUGGAUGUCUAGGCUCGC